GACGAACGCUGGCGGCGUGCCUAAUACAUGCAAGUCGAGCGGACCAAACAGGAGCUUGCUCUUGUUUGGUUAGCGGCGGACGGGUGAGUAACACGUGGGUAACCUGCCCGUAAGACCGGGAUAACUCCGGGAAACCGGAGCUAAUACCGGAUAACACCGAAGACCGCAUGGUCUUUGGUUGAAAGGCGGCUUCGGCUGCCACUUACGGGUGGGCCCGCGGCGCAUUAGCUAGUUGGUGAGGUAACGGCUCACCAAGGCGACGAUGCGUAGCCGGCCUGAGAGGGUGACCGGCCACACUGGGACUGAGACACGGCCCAGACUCCUACGGGAGGCAGCAGUAGGGAAUCUUCCGCAAUGGACGAAAGUCUGACGGAGCGACGCCGCGGGAGCGAAGAAGGUCUUCGGAUCGUAAAGCUCUGUUGUUAGGGAAGAAGAAGCGCCGUUCGAACAGGGCGGCGCGGUGACGGUACCUAACGAGAAAGCCCCGGCUAACUACGUG
rnacentral:rRNA from 1 species